rnacentral:other from 1 species
GUUCCCCUGCUGUAUUCGUGAUGCGUGGAUGAUCUUGAGCCAAUACGAAUUGAACGGGAGCUGUCCCUGGUCGUGACGGUAUAUUCCCAUCACGGGAAAAACUUUAAGCGGUUACAUGGCGCCCACCUAUUGUGAGAUAGGUUCAGAUUCAAUUCCUGCACACGGUACAUGCGGGGGAACU